UACGUAGGGCGCAAGCGUUGUCCGGAAUUAUUGGGCGUAAAGAGCUCGUAGGCGGCCUGUUACGUCUGCUGUGAAAUCCCGGGGCUUAACCCCGGGCGUGCAGUGGAUACGGGCAGGCUGGAGGCAGGCAGGGGAGAACGGAAUUCCCGGUGUAGCGGUGAAAUGCGCAGAGUAUCGGGAGGAACACCGGUGGCGAAGGCGGUUCUCUGGGCCUGUACUGACGCUGAGGAGCGAAAGCGUGGGGAGCGAACAGG
rnacentral:rRNA from 1 species